GAGCCGCACCUCCGCCCCGGGCCCCGUCUGCCCCGCAUCAACCAUCCCCAGGGCCGCCUCCGGGAGGGGCGGGGCCGGCCGGCUGGGCAGGUGAGGGCGGCCCCGGGAGGGUGCGUUGGGACGCUUCUUUGUUGAUCGUCCGGCCCCGCCCCAGGCCUGGGCGCGAGCUGCAGGAGCUGAGUCACGGCCGACUGCUGGGUGCGUGGCCACAUGGCCCCAGGCGGAAGAGUGCGUCCCUUUCCUGAACCUGGCGUGUCUCUUGAGGAAGCCAAAGAGACAAAAGCCAGGGAGCGGUGGCUUCUGUUCUACAAAGCUCACUACUCGUAACCCAUAGCUGAGGUCACCCCAGCACUCGCACAGCCCUGAGCAGGAACCACCGUCCGUCCGCCACCCCCAUGCCACCUCCAAAGGGAUCAUGAUUUUGAGGCUUGUGGCAAAGCUCCGCGACAGACUUGCAGUGACAUGGUCCAGGAAGGUUCCUCUAGAGCUGUCCCAUGUCCCCACACCAGCCUGAGGUGCUUGGCAGACCUCCCUUUGAGUGUCACUGAUUUUGAGGACGUUCCCCUGAACAUAGAUGUAUUAACCACAAAUGAGCGCUGCUGAAUGAUCCUGCCUGGCUCUGAAAGCCUCCAUCUCAGACAGACAAAUGAGACUCCAGCCUUGUUCUGCCUGAGCUCCAGCAAAAGCAAGAGAUCAGAGGCUGCCGUCUUGUUGGAGAAGCCGCCAGGAUCCGGAUCACAAAGCACUGGGGCAGUGGAUGUCUUUAGCAGUUUCCGGGCCUGUGAAUCUGCUAUUGGAAUGCGUCCCUUUGAGCUCGAGUCCGCGAAGCCCCUCAGGAAUUGGAGUGAUGGCAGUGACCGGCCGUGUGCCGUGGCCGCGGGGAUGGCUAGGUGAGGCCUAUGGCCUGGGAAGAAGUCAUCCCAGCGUGCGAGGAGGGAGGAACGGGGAGCUGGGGCUUUCUGCGGAGAUCGCUGCUGCCGCCGUGAUCUGUGGUGGAGCAGUGGCUGGGUCCAAAGCCUCCGAGCUGGGUCCGAGCGGCUAUGCCUCGUACUGCUGUGUGGCCUGGGGCGUCACGUGGCCUCUGGGGGCCCAGUGUCCUCAUCUGUCCCUGGGGAUACUGAGAGCGACCUCGUGGCUAAUGGUUAAAUAAGCUACUGUGGGUAGUGUGUCUGGCACUGAGUAGGUGCUCUGCAAAUGGAAGACGUUAUUGCUGUUAUCACACAAAUUAUAGCCAAAACAUAAGUCAGUGACGAUGACUAGCCCGCUGUUCCGUCUGAAAUGGGUUACCGAUCUGGCGACCCUAUUUCUGGUGUCCCAGGGACCCCCACCCCCACCCCUCUACCCAGCCCUGCCGUCCUGCCGCCCAGGGUCUUUCUGGCUGUCCCCAGCCCUCCCUCCUCCCACCUCUGUCCCGGCCUGGCCCCAGCUUCCUGUCACCUGGACUCCAUCCAGUCUGAAAGGGCAAGAGCGCACGCGGCGAAACCAGGAGGACGCAGCCCCUGGAACCCCCGCCCUUCCCUGUAUCCUAUGUUUGUCUGCUUCCAACUCUUGGCCAUCUCGGGUCUCCAGCUGCUUCUCACUCCUUAUCCCUUUGUUCUAACUUUUCUCUCUCUCCCCAUUCCGUGGCUCCCCAUGGCUCUCAUUAAACUCUAAUUAAACGAUGCA